UAAUUCUCAAACUUGAUUUUGCAACCCUAGUAACCUCAAGAGCUACUGCAAAACUAUAUCCAAAUACUCAAAACAGGUUUACUUUUGAUUCACCUUAAAAAUUAUAAGGACACAUGUGCUCAAUGUCAGCUUUUUAUAAGACAGAGGAGAAGUGGUGAAAUCAAAUUAAAAAUAGUACGAUUUCAUAAUGCCCAAAAGCCUGUAAAUGUCUAUACUAAGGAGUUGGAAUCAUUCAAAAUUCCCAGAUAAACUGAAUUUAAGCAUUGAUACAUGAUAUGGUUUGGCUGUUCCCCCACCCAAAUCUCAUCUUGAAUUGUAAUCCCCCAAAUCCCCAUGUGUUGAGGGAGGGACCCCGUGGAAGGUGAUUGGAUCAUGAGGGUGGUUCCCUCAUGCUGUUCUUGGGAUAGUGGGUUCUAUAAAAUUUAUGGUUUUAUAAUGCAGUUUUCCCUUCUCUUGCAUGCUCUCUCUCCCCUGUCACCAUGUAAGACGUACCUCUUCCCCUUUUGCCAUGAUUAUAAGUUUCCUGAAGCCUCCCCAGCCAUGCAGAACUGUGAGUCAAUUAAACCUCUUUUCUUUAUAAAUUACCCAGUCUCGGGUAUGUCUUUAUAGCAGUGUGAAGACGGACUAAUACAAUAUGCUAAUGCAAGUGGGAAAACUAAGAUUGAUUUUGGAAUGAAACAUGCAGUCUCAACUUAAGAACACCCAAUUUACAAAACUAUAUAUAUCCAGACAGAGUCAUACUGAAUGCCAUGUUCUCCCACAUCAAUGUCAAAUGCUUAGCAUGGCCAGCAAAAAGCUGUUCCUUUGCUGUAAUGCAACCGUGUCUUCUGAAUAUGGAUCCAUAUUCACUUUCCAUCUUAUCCUCCAUCAGACACACUCUUCUUUUCCUAAAGCAUUUGCAGGGCAACAGAGGGUUCCAGGUUUCAGAAUUUAAACAGUCGUAUCUCAUUGAAAAUAAGUUUAAUGAUUAUUAAGUUUCCAAGCUAGAUUACAGAAGUCUUUUUAGCCCAUAUCAUAAAUAAAAUAGUUCUGAAUUUUUCGUAUGGAAAAAUAUACUCUGAGUUCCAAGCAAACAACUUAAGAAAAUUUUUAGAACUAACACAUUCCUAUAUUGGGAAGAGCUCAAAAGUCUGUUCUUCCUCCCCAUCCACUGUUGUUUAAUUAAUCUCUUAAUAUCAUAAAGUCCCUCAUGUGAAUGGCAUUUGGGACAAAGUGAUGUUGGCAAGUAAGAAAUGCAGCAGUGGUCCAACCCACAGGAGAUGCCAGACAAUUGCUCAUGGCAUGAGAUAGGGUCAUGAGGAAAAGCUGAAGAACUGAAAAUCUUUCUUCUUCCCUCCCUAGGCAUUCAUGCUCCCACCUCAUCUACAUCCCACAGAUCCUCCAUUUUCUCUAGGUAUGAGAUUUAUUUCCAAGCUAGACUGAAAGCUGGAAGAAGAUGGGACACAUGUCUGCUUCAUUUUCUAUUUCCCCAGCAUGUAGGUGCAGCACCCAGCCCCUAGUUGUUUAUCAAUUAUAGGUCUUGAUGGUCAUGUCCCCAGCCUCCCGCCUCAGGAGUAGGCUUCACAUGUCUCCCUUUCAGAAACAAAGCCACGUAAGACUCCAAAACCCCGCCUUCCCUUGGGCUCCACACAAUCAGCAUACAUCUUUCCUUAUCUGUUUUGUGCUCUGAAAAUCGUGUCUACCUCCAAAUGAUACAUCUUUAAAGUGAGUCACCCCUCCUCACAAUCUACUCCAAAAUUUCCAACAAGUUUUCUUCUUUUCAUUCUUCCUCCCACCAGCCUAUCCUAUUCCCUUCUCUCCCCCCACAAAAUCUAGCUCUUCUUUAAAUACAUUUAAACAUUUUCGCUAGGACAUUUCAUCUAUACAGGAUAUGCUAUAUUCUAACUAUUUCUUAGUAAACAUUGAAGGGAGUUUCUUCCUUUAUUCAAGUAUGGAACCCUGCUCAAUAUCCUUUUGGUCUUCAUAUGCCUUCUUUCAAGGCCUUUGUGAAAUUUUUUUCCAUGCCUGAAAGCCGGUGGGGUUUUACACAGGGACUGCGAUGGCUAAAUCCAAGGCAGAGUGGGAUCUUUAUCUAUUAACCAUUUGAUAACUCAAGUUUAUCCCUUGAUGAAUGAAUAAGUUAUCAUUUGCCUUUGGGUCCCAUUCUUGAGUGGUCAUGGAGAGUUCUGUAGCUCACCCUCUUUAUACUCAUAAUUUGCACAAAUUUCACCUAAGAGUAUUUACUUAACCACUUUAAUUCAAUUUGUCUCUACCUAAGACAUUUAAUUCAACAAAUAUUUUUUAAGCUUCUCUAUAAAAGGGACUCUGGCAACUUUCAGACCCGCACUGUAGCACCAGCUCUCUGCUGGCCCACCCCUUGCAGACUUUGGGCUUGCCUGCCUUCAAAAUCAUGUGAGUCAAUUCCUUAAAAUAAAUAUAUUUUUAUUUAUUUAUAUAUAUGUUUGCACACACACGCGAAUCUUAUUUUUUCUGUUUCUCUGGAGAAUUCUGACUAAUGCACCCCCAUUCACCAUCCAGGCUUUUGAGGAGAAAGAUACCAAUCUUAGCAGCAGAGGACACUCUGGAUAGAGCUAGGAGUUUGUUGCAGAGUCUGACAAAAGUUCCCUCUGCAGAAGGGAUGGAAGGAUAGCCUUGGGGGUUGAUUUAGGACUGGGUGUAUGACAUGGGGGAAAAGAAAUCCCUGGGGGAGCUAAAUGAGGGGAGGUGGACCCCUUAUGAUAGUUUAUCAGAGCAAUCUAAGAAAUCAUGUAGGCCUCUAAGAAAGCAUCAAGAAUCAAUGCAAUUUGAUUAAUUGACUUAAAAUAUGUUGAACUUUUCAGCCUCCAUUGUGUAUUUUUGGUGCAAUACUCUGUGCAACUAUUUCAUCCAAGACCAGAAGGGGCUGGAAGAUUGCCUGCUUCACAUUAAAACCCUCCUUAUUGUAUUGGUGCUGACACGACACAAGGAUAUGCAGUCUUUAUCCAGUCCUUAUUGCUCACAGAAAGAUACCAGUCCUUACUGCUCACAGAAAGUAGUGAAGCCUCCCUUCACUCACAGAGCCCACACAGGUAUGCCCUGGUUUAUGUAAUGAAUGGGCUGCUACAAAUAGGUGUGAUGCAUGCCUUUGUGAAUCACUUUAUAUUUUGAAGACACAUUAGAGGAGCUGGCUAUUUCAAAGAAAUUUCACAAGUGCCUCAUUUCUUAAUGUCACAAGCAUUUCUGAUUUAUAAUCAUAACCCCUUUCUAAUGUAUUAGCUUAUGAAGUUCCAUUUUUUGCCUAAGAGGUUUAAUCAAAGCAAGAUAAAACUAUGCUUAAUAAUAUUCAGUUACCUGAAAGAGCUAUUGCAGAAAUGCCUAAUAUAUUACCAGAAAGUAGCUUAAUGUCUCAAAUAAAUGUCAAGUUGUCCAAAUCAAACUGAUAGGCAGCUUAAUGAGGGAUAAAUGUCAUAAUUAUCCAUAUUUCUCCACAUUUUUUUUAGAAAAAAACAUUCACACAAUGAAGGGAAUCAGAAUCUGUUUUUAUAUCCCUAGAGUUAUAAACAUUUGUAUCAAAAUAUUUACAAUUAUAGUA
rnacentral:lncRNA from 1 species